UAGGGAAUAUUGGACAAUGGACGAAAGUCUGAUCCAGCAAUGCCGCGUGAGUGAUGAAGGUGUUAUGCAUCGUAAAGCUCUUUUAGCAGGGACGAUAAUGACGGUACCUGCAGAAUAAGCACCGACAAACUAUGUGCCAGCAGUCGCGGUAAUACAUGGGGUGCGAGCAUUACUCGGAAUUACUGGGUGUAAAGGAUGCGUAGGGGGCUUUUUAAGUCAAAUGUCCAAUCUCAGGUUUCAAGCCUGAAACUGCAUUUGAUACUGAAGAGCUAGAGUAAGAAAGAGGAUAGUGGAAUUCUUAGUGGAGGGGUUAAAUCCGUAGAUAUUAAGAGGAACGCCAGAAGCGAAAGCGACUAUCUAGGUCUUUACUGACCUUGAGGCAUGAAAGCGUGGGGAGCAAACAGG
rnacentral:rRNA from 1 species